CUUGUCCGGGAGGCAGGCAAGCGGGGCAUAUGGCUGAAGUUUCCCGGCCCUGGGCCCAGCCCUGCUUUAAUUCAGCGGACCCUGGGCCCAGGUUCCCUUACCCCUGACCCCCCAACACUAACCGGUCAACCCCCCGAACGCCCUUCCUCGGCUCCGGGAGUCGCCACUCCAGCCCGCUGUGGCUCGAGAACUCUCCCCCCUCCCCCACAGCGACCUGCUUCCUUACUAUUAAUGAAAAGGAAACCUGAACAUUUCAGUCUUUCCUGGUGGAGAAAAUAACAGUA